rnacentral:rRNA from 1 species
GAUGAACGCUAGCUACAGGCUUAACACAUGCAAGUCGAGGGGAAACGGCAUUUAGUGCUUGCACCGAAUGGACGUCGACCGGCGCACGGGUGAGUAACGCGUAUCCAACCUUCCCAUAACUAAGGGAUAACCUGCCGAAAGGCAGACUAAUACCUUAUGUAAUCCUUUGAUGGCAUCAGAUAAGGAUAAAAGAUUUAUCGGUUAUGGAUGGGGAUGCGUCUGAUUAGCUUGUUGGCGGGGUAACGGCCCACCAAGGCAACGAUCAGUAGGGGUUCUGAGAGGAAGGUCCCCCACAUUGGAACUGAGACACGGUCCAAACUCCUACGGGAGGCAGCAGUGAGGAAUAUUGGUCAAUGGACGGAAGUCUGAACCAGCCAAGUAGCGUGCAGGAUGACGGCCCUAUGGGUUGUAAACUGCUUUUGUAUGGGGAUAAAGUCAAUCACGUGUGAUUGUUUGUAGGUACCAUACGAAUAAGGAC